rnacentral:sRNA from 1 species
UACGAAACCAAUCAACUACGGAUGGAGA